GACGAACGCUGGCGGCAUGCCUAACACAUGCAAGUCGAACGGAGAACUCCUUCGGGGGUUCUUAGUGGCGAACGGGUGAGUAACGCGUAGGCAACCUGCCCUUUGGAUGGGGACAACAUUCCGAAAGGAGUGCUAAUACCGAAUGUGACGAUUUUACCGCAUGGUUUAAUCGUGAAAGAUGGCCUCUACAUGUAAGCUAUCGCCAAAGGAUGGGCCUGCGUCUGAUUAGCUAGUUGGUGGGGUAACGGCUCACCAAGGCGACGAUCAGUAGCCGGUCUGAGAGGAUGAACGGCCACAUUGGGACUGAGAUACGGCCCAGACUCCUACGGGAGGCAGCAGUGGGGGAUAUUGCGCAAUGGGGGAAACCCUGACGCAGCAACGCCGCGUGGAUGAUGACGGUACCUUUGGAGGAAGCCCCGGCUAACUACGUG
rnacentral:rRNA from 1 species